AUUGAACGCUGGCGGCAGGCCUAACACAUGCAAGUCGAACGGCAGCGGGAAAGUAGCUUGCUACUUUUGCCGGCGAGCGGCGGACGGGUGAGUAAUGCCUGGGAAAUUGCCCAGUCGAGGGGGAUAACAGUUGGAAACGACUGCUAAUACCGCAUACGCCCUACGGGGGAAAGCAGGGGACCUUCUGGCCUUGCGCGAUUGGAUAUGCCAAGGUGGGAUUAGCUAGUUGGUGAGGUAAUGGCUCACCGAGGCGACGAUCCCGAGCCUGUUUGAGAGGAUGAUCAGCCACGCGGGAACUGAGACACGGUCCAGACUCCGGCGGGAGGCAGCAGUGGGGGAUAUUGCACAAUGGGGGAAACCCUGAUGCAGCCAUGCCGGGUGUGUGAAGAAGGCGUUCGGGUUGUAAAGCACUUUCAGCGAGGAGGAAAGGUUGAUGUCUAAUACGUAUCAACUGUGACGUUACUCGCAGAAGAAGCACCGGCUAACUCCGUGCCAGCCGCCGCCGUAACAC
rnacentral:rRNA from 1 species